rnacentral:ncRNA from 1 species
CGACCCCAGGUCAGGCGGGAUCACCUGACAAGGAUUCCCUUAGUAAUGGCAAGCGAACCGGGAAGAGCCCAGCUUGAAAAUCAGACGUCUUUGGCGUUCGAAUUGUAGUCUGGAGAAGCGUCCUCAGCGACGGACCGGGCCCAAGUUCCCUGGAAAGGGGCACCAGAGAGGCUGAGAGCCCCGUCGUGCCCGGACCCUGUCGCACCAUGAGGCGCUGUCUACGAGUCGGGUAGUUUGGAAUGCAGCCCCAAUCGGGCGGUAAAUUCUGUCCAAGGCUAAAUAUGGGCGAGAGACCGAUAGAGAACAAGUACCGCGAGGUAAAGAUGAAAAGGACUUUGAAAAGAGAGUCAAAGAAUGGUUGAAAUUGUUCGGAGGGAAGCGGAUGGGGGCCGGCGAUUCAUCCCGGUCGGAUGCGGAACGGAGCAAUCUGGUCCGCCAAUCGAUUUGGGCCGUGGACCAACGCAGAUUAAGGUGGUGACCUAUGCCUGGGCUUUUGUUACGCCCGCGGAGACGUCACUGCCUUAAUCGUGGUCUGCAGCACGCGCCGCACAGCGUGCCUCGGCAUCUGCGUUCUCAGAUCUUGAAACACGGACCAAGUGUAACAUCCCAGAUCCUGAAUAGGAUCAUUGGGACGGCCAUGGUUCGAGGAAACGUACUAGUCAGUCUUAGGACAUCAAGACAAUCGUUCCAUGGCCAGAUAAGAAGGUUAAGGACGUAAGGAAACUUAGACUUAACCAUAUACAAGUCGAGAGUCAGCUAGGACGAGUAAGACGGUAGCUGGACGGAUGGAACAAGUAGCUCGACCAGCUCAACGGAGUUAGGUUAAGAUCACUCCAGGUUGGCCGCUACUAAGUCAGCUCCACUAGCUGAACUACUAGCUCACUCAGCUGAGGCAGCUGGGAGUCAGG